rnacentral:rRNA from 1 species
UCGGGAAUAUUGCGCAAUGGAGGAAACUCUGACGCAGUGACGCCGCGUAUAGGAAGAAGGUUUUCGGAUUGUAAACUAUUGUCGUUAGGGAAGAAAAAAUGACAGUACCUAAGGAGGAAGCUCCGGCUAACUACGUGCCAGCAGCCGCGGUAAUACGUAGGGAGCAAGCGUUAUCCGGAUUUAUUGGGUGUAAAGGGUGCGUAGACGGGCGAUCAAGUUAGUUGUGAAAUCCCUCGGCUCAACUGAGGAACUGCAACUAAACUGGUUGUCUUGAGUGCAGGAGAGGUAAGUGGAAUUCCUAGUGUAGCGGUGAAAUGCGUAGAUAUUAGGAGGAACACCAGUGGCGAAGGCGACUUACUGGACUGUAACUGACGUUGAGGCACGAAAGUGUGGGGAGCAACAGGAUUAGAUACCC